rnacentral:rRNA from 1 species
GACGUAGGGCGCAAGCGUUGUCCGGAUUUAUUGGGCGUAAAGAGCUCGUAGGCGGCUCGUUGCGUCGGCUGUGAAAACCCGCAGCUCAACUGUGGGCUUGCAGCCGAUACGGGCGGGCUGGAGUUCGGUAGGGGAGACUGGAAUUCCUGGUGGUAGCGGUGGAAUGCGCAGAUAUCAAGGAGGAACACCGGUGGCGAAGGCGGGUCUCUGGGCAGUAACUGACGCUGAGGAGCGAAAGCGUGGGGAGCGAACAGG